rnacentral:rRNA from 1 species
GAUGAACGCUGGCAGCGUGCCUAAUACAUGCAAGUCGAGCGAACAGAUGAGGAGCUUGCUCCUCUGACGUUAGCGGCGGACGGGUGAGUAACACGUGGAUAACCUACCUAUAAGACUGGGAUAACUUCGGGAAACCGGAGCUAAUACCGGAUAAUAUAUUGAACCGCAUGGUUCAAUAGUGAAAGACGGUUUUGCUGUCACUUAUAGAUGGAUCCGCGCCGCAUUAGCUAGUUGGUAAGGUAACGGCUUACCAAGGCAACGAUGCGUAGCCGACCUGAGAGGGUGAUCGGCCACACUGGAACUGAGACACGGUCCAGACUCCUACGGGAGGCAGCAGUAGGGAAUCUUCCGCAAUGGGCGAAAGCUUGACGGAGCAACGCCGCGUGAGUGAUGAAGGUCUUCGGAUCGUAAAACUCUGUUAUUAGGGAAGAACAAAUGUGUAAGUAACUAUGCACGUCUUGACGGUACCUAAUCAGAAAGCCACGGCUAACUACGUG